rnacentral:rRNA from 1 species
AGUCGAGCGGGGGAAGGUAGCUUGCUACCGGACCUAGCGGCGGACGGGUGAGUAAUGCUUAGGAAUCUGCCUAUUAGUGGGGGACAACAUCUCGAAAGGGAUGCUAAUACCGCAUACGUCCUACGGGAGAAAGCAGGGGAUCUUCGGACCUUGCGCUAAUAGAUGAGCCUAAGUCGGAUUAGCUAGUUGGUGGGGUAAAGGCCUACCAAGGCGACGAUCUGUAGCGGGUCUGAGAGGAUGAUCCGCCACACUGGGACUGAGACACGGCCCAGACUCCUACGGGAGGCAGCAGUGGGGAAUAUUGGACAAUGGGGGGAACCCUGAUCCAGCCAUGCCGCGUGUGUGAAGAAGGCCUUAUGGUUGUAAAGCACUUUAAGCGAGGAGGAGGCUACUUUAGUUAAUACCUAGAGAUAGUGGACGUUACUCGCAGAAUAAGCACCGGCUAACUCUGUGCCAGCAGCCGCGGUAAUACAGAGGGUGCGAGCGUUAAUCGGAUUUACUGGGCGUAAAGCGUGCGUAGGCGGCUUAUUAAGUCGGAUGUGAAAUCCCCGAGCUUAACUUGGGAAUUGCAUUCGAUACUGGUGAGCUAGAGUAUGGGAGAGGAUGGUAGAAUUCCAGGUGUAGCGGUGAAAUGCGUAGAGAUCUGGAGGAAUACCGAUGGCGAAGGCAGCCAUCUGGCCUAAUACUGACGCUGAGGUACGAAAGCAUGGGGAGCAAACAGGAUUAGAUACCCUGGUAGUCCAUGCCGUAAACGAUGUCUACUAGCCGUUGGGGCCUUUGAGGCUUUAGUGGCGCAGCUAACGCGAUAAGUAGACCGCCUGGGGGAGUACGGUCGCAAGACUAAAACUCAAAUGAAUUGACGGGGGCCCGCACAAGCGGUGGAGCAUGUGGUUUAAUUCGAUGCAACGCGAAGAACCUUACCUGGCCUUGA